rnacentral:lncRNA from 1 species
UGGACCAAAUCCCAUGAACCAAAACCAAAUCUCAUGGACCAAAUCCCAUGAACCAAAACCAAAUCUCAUGGACCAAAUCCCAUGAACCUAAACCAAACCUCAUGGACCAAAUCUCAUGAACCAAAACCAAAUCUCAUGGACCAAAUCCCAUGAACCAAAACCAAACCUCAUAGACCAAAUCCCAUGAACCAAACACCACGAACCAUACCCAAGUCCCAUAAACCAUGAAUCAAGUUCGUGAACCAAACACCACGAACCAUACCCAAGUUCAUGAACUAUAAACCAAACCCCAUGAACCAUACACCAAAUUCAUGAACCAUAAACCAAAUCCAUAAACCAAGUUCAUGAACCAUGAACCAUGAACUAUGAACCAAGUUCAUAAACCUCAUCCAUGAACCAUAUCCAAGUUCAUGAACCAUAUACCAUAAACCAUAAAUCAAGAUCACAUACCCAACCUCAUGACCCAUACACUUAGUUCAUGAAUCAUAAACCAAGUUCAUGAACCAUAUCUUAUGAACCCAUGAACCAUACAUCAAGUUCAUAAAUCUCAUCUAUGAACCAUAUUCAAGUUCAUGAACCAAAUCCCAUACACCAAACCUCAUGAACCAUAAACCACAACCCAAGCCCAUGGACCAAAUCCCAUGGACCAUAUACCCAACCUCAUGAACCAUAUGCCAAAUCCAAUGAGGCAUGAACCAAAUCAUCUUCAAAUCUCAUGAACCAACACCCAUAUCUCAAGAACCAAUACCCAAAUCUCAUGCCCAAAGUUCAUCAUGAAC